rnacentral:lncRNA from 1 species
AUGAAACAGGCACUGGACGCUUCUGUUCGGAAAAACGGUUUAUACACUAAUUAAUCACGGUUAAUCGCUAUCGGUAAUCGCAAGUUAAGUUCUCCCGUUGCAACUGAAAGCCGUGGAGUAGAUUUUCUGUUACCCAAGACCCACUCUAUUUUUUAUUAGCCCACUGCCUUCCCUUUUUUUCCGGAUCUGAGGUCUUGGCUCUUGGCGGCGGUAAGCUCGGGUAAGCUGGGGUCGACGGCGGCGAACUUCACCUACACGCUCCGCGCAGAUUUGACAUGCCAUCAUCCUCUGUACCAUCGCGAUGCCCCUGACGAGAAGGCAGCGAUCGAGGAGGUGCGCCCCACGCUAGAUCGGGAGAAAGAGGUGAGCCCGUCGUGGCCCAUAGAGCACCUCCGUCGCACCACCCGUGCAGAUCGGAGGAUGGGACAUCGUCCCUUGCUCUAUGAGGUGGUGGAACUGGACCUGCUGAUAGGCCUCCCCUAUGGACUGAGCUUUAGCGCCGUUGAUCACCAUCUUCACCGGUCGGAGGAGGCCGAAGAUGUAGCCGUCAGAUCAGGCACGACACUGCCGAUCUUCCUCAUAAACAAGAGCUCCGAGGCAAAGCAAGAGUGUGCUGUAGAAGCUUGGCACAAUGCAGAUGCCUUCCCUGUGCGUUAA